rnacentral:rRNA from 1 species
GGGCGGGAUUACCCGCUGAACUUAAGCAUAUCAAUAAGCGGAGGAAAAGAAACCAACAGGGAUUGCCCUAGUAACGGCGAGUGAAGCGGCAACAGCUCAGAUUUGAAAGCUGGCUCCUCUAGCGGGGAGUCCGCGUUGUAAUCUGCAGAGGACGUCUCGGGCGAGGUGGUGCACUAAGUCCCCUGGAACGGGGCGCCAUAGAGGGUGACAGCCCCGUGCGUGUGCCGCUGAGUCUAUGUGAGGCUCCUUCGACGAGUCGAGUAGUUUGGGAAUGCUGCUCUAAACGGGAGGUACAUGCCUUCUAAAGCUAAAUACCCGCCAGAGACCGAUAGCGCACAAGUAGCGUAAGCGAAAGGUGAAAAGCACCCUGGAGAGAGGGUUAAACAGAACGUGAAAUUGCUGCAAGGGAAGCGCUAGCGUUGAGACGCGGGCCGGCCUGUUUACCUCGCCCUCGGGCGGGGCGACUCAGUGUCCGUGCCCGGGCCAGCACCGGCUCUCGAGGCCGCUGAAGACCGCCGGGAACGUGGCUCCUCCGGGAGUGUUAUAGCCUGGCGGGCGAUGCGGUCGAGGGGGCCGAGGAACCCUGCGCCCUCUGGGCAUGGGUGCUGGCAUAAUCAUCAUUAGCGACCCGUCUUGAAACACGGACCAAGGAGUCGAGGUAUCGCGCGAGUGUUGGGGCGUCAAACCCCUAACGCGCAGUGAAAGCGAACGCUUGUGGGAAGCCCUUAUGGGCGGCACCACAGACCGAUCUAGAAGCUUUGGUGGACGGAUUUGAGUAGGAGCGUGGUGCCUCGGACCCGAAAGAUGGUGAACUAUGCUCGGAUAGGGUGAAGCCAGGGGAAACUCUGGUGGAGGCUCGCAGCGGUUCUGACGUGCAAAUCGAUCGUCGAAUCUGGGCAUGGGGGCGAAAGACUAAUCGAACCAUCUAGUAGCUGGUUACGGCCGAAGUUUCCCUCAGGAUA